rnacentral:rRNA from 1 species
AUUGAACGCUGGCGGCAGGCUUAACACAUGCAAGUCGAGCGAGAGGCGGACGGGUGAGUAAUGUCUGGGAACCUGCCCGAUGGAGGGGGAUAACUACUGGAAACGGUAGCUAAUACCGCAUACCAUCAGAUUUGCCCAGAUGGGAUUAGCUAGUAGGUGGGGUAAUGGCUCACCUAGGCGACGAUCCCUAGCUGGUCUUAGAGGAUGAACGGCCACACUGUAACUGAGACACGGCCCAGACUCCUACGGGAGGCAGCAGUGGGGAAUAGUGCACAAUGGGCGCAAGCCUGAUGCAGCCAUGCCGCGUGUAUGAAGAAGGCCUUCGGGUUGUAAAGCACUUUCAGCGAGGAGGCGUUACUCGCAGAAGAAGCACCGGCUAACUCCGUGCCAGCAGCCGCGGUAAUUC